UUAGACUAUAGAGUCAGUAGUGUAUACACGGGGGAAAGGGAAAUUUAAAACCAACAUCAUCCCCCCUAACCGAAAAUAUAAACAUGAGGAAAAAGAAAAUAAGUGAAAAAACAAAAUAAUGAAAAAAAAAAAACAAUCGAACUUAAUCUGCUGCUGAAAGAGUACACUAUACUCUAUACUAUAGAGCUUUGGACUUGGAAUAACUAUGUGCUGAAUGUGGAUUUAUAAAGAAGAAGAAAAACAAGAUGAUUACAUUAUUCAACGCAAUUUUAACAAAGACUACAAUUGAAUAUUAUUGAGAAGAGCAAUUUUGUCAUAUUCUGUGAAAAUUUGGUACAUAAAUGUAAAGAUUUUUGUUAUCAUCUUAAGUAUAACUCUGUUUGUUUUGGCUUUAUACGAUGAUUUAUAUUUCAAAAAGUCUAGUAGUGGCUCCAACAACAUCCUUUAUAAAGGCAUUUCUGUGACCGACGCCUUGAUGAAACCUUAUACUGGCAUACAUAAUGUCUCUGGCUCACUCAUCAUAAAGAUCUAUUUUAAAGAACCCUGGACUAAGGCCAAAAACGCAUUGGGUAUACAAAAUCCCGGCUUCUAGGGGUGAGGUUACUUUCAAUCCAAGCAAGGGCUGUGGUGAAAAGAGAACAUUAAAUAAUAAAACAUGUUGCAACGAAAUGAAUAUGUUGCAACUGCGAAAAUCAGUAGAUGAGAAAGUAGCUUUCAACAUUCUCCUUUAAUUCAAAAGUUUUUAA